rnacentral:rRNA from 1 species
GCUCUGGCCGGGCGGUCCACCUUUGGAUGGUACUGCUUGGCUGGGGUUUACCUUUCUGAAUAACCAGCAUGUCAUUAAUUUGGUGCGCCGGGGAAGCAGGACUGUUACCUUGAAAAAAUUAGAGUGCUUAAAGCAGGCUAUUGCCUGAAUACAUUAGCAUGGAAUAAUGAAAUAGGACGGCAUGGUUCUAUUUUGUUGGUUUCUAGGAUCACCGUA